UACGUAGGGUGCAAGCGUUUGUCCGGAUUUAUUGGGCGUAAAGAGCUCGUAGGCGGUCUGUCGCGUCGGAUGUGAAAACCCAGGGCUCAACCCUGGGCCUGCAUUCGAUACGGGCAGACUGGAGUACUGCAGGGGAGACUGGAAUUCCUGGUGUAGCGGUGGAAUGCGCAGAUAUCAGGAGGAACACCGGUGGCGAAGGCGGGUCUCUGGGCAGUAACUGACGCUGGAGGAGCGAAAGCGUGGGGAGCGAACAGG
rnacentral:rRNA from 1 species